UCCCUGCUGUCUCAGUGAUAAAGAAUCUGCCUGCAAUGCAGGAGACACAGGUUCAAUCCCUGGGUCAGGAA
rnacentral:tRNA from 1 species